rnacentral:tRNA from 1 species
GUAGCUCAGUGGUAGAGUACUUGCCUUGCAUGCAUGAGGCCCUGGGUUUGAUUCCUCAGC